CGACUUUCAGGUUCCAGAGCUGCUUGAUUUGCCGGCUUUGUUAGUAUCAUCGUUAUAACCGCUGCAUAGUGACAAGCUGACAAUCGGGCAGAGCUGGAGAUCUGAAAUUG